rnacentral:rRNA from 1 species
UGGGGAAUAUUGGACAAUGGGCGGAAGCCUGAUCCAGCCAUGCCGCGUGUGUGAAGAAGGCCUUUUGGUUGUAAAGCACUUUAAGCGAGGAGGAGGCUACUUGGAUUAAUACUCUAGGAUAGUGGACGUUACUCGCAGAAUAAGCACCGGCUAACUCUGUGCCAGCAGCCGCGGUAAUACAGAGGGUGCGAGCGUUAAUCGGAUUUACUGGGCGUAAAGCGUGCGUAGGCGGCUUCUUAAGUCGGAUGUGAAAUCCCUGAGCUUAACUUAGGAAUGGCAUUCGAUACUGGGAAGCUAGAGUAUGGGAGAGGAUGGUAGAAUUCCAGGUGUAGCGGUGAAAUGCGUAGAGAUCUGGAGGAAUACCGAUGGCGAAGGCAGCCAUCUGGCCUAAUACUGACGCUGAGGUACGAAAGCAUGGGGAGCAAACAGG